AGAGUUUGAUUAUGGCUCAGGAUGAACGCUAGCGGCAGGCUUAACACAUGCAAGUCGAGGGGCAUCGAGGGUAGCAAUACCUGUCGGCGACCGGCGAAAGGGUGAGUAACGCGUGAGCAACAUGCCCGGAGGAGGGGGAUAGUCAUUGGAAACGAUGCGUAAUACCCCGUAACAUAAGUCAUCGCAUGGUGAUUUAUUGAAAGAUUCAUUGUCUCCGGAUUGGCUCGCGUGCCAUUAGGCAGUUGGCGGGUAACGGCCCACCAAACCGACGAUGGCUAGGGGUUCUGAGAGGAAGGUCCCCCACAUUGGAACUGAGACACGGUCCAGACUCCUACGGGAGGCAGCAGUGAGGAAUAUUGGACAAUGGAAGGAAUUCUGAUCCAGCCAUGCCGCGUGCGGGAGGACGGCCCUAUGGGUUAUAAACCGCUUUUUUGAGGGAGCAAUAAGGGUCACGUGUGGCCCGAUGAGAGUACCUUGAGAAUAAGCAUCGGCUAACUCCGUGCCAGCCGCCGC
rnacentral:rRNA from 1 species